UAUGAAACAGUUAUUUAUACCACCGAGCAAUAAAUGCUUUUUUAGACACAAGAUGUGUAGAUUUUCACUCGAGGCAGUAAGUCGAGUGUGACAAAACACAUUGUGUGCCU